CAAUGCCUUCUCUUCAAUUGUCCCAUUCUUGUCAAACCCCCCCCUGAGCAGACUGCCGGUGAUAAGCCGGAGGCCCCCCCCGUUGGGGCCAUACUUGGCACAUAAGGCCUGAGCGUGAGUCUAAGGGAUGGAGGAAUGGGCCAAAGCUCAUUUCAAGUUGGUCUGCUUGGUGUAAGGUCGAAACCGAGCCUAGCAAAAACCCUUCGGUAUUAUUCCAUCCGACUCAUCAGCUUCCAAAGCAGCUUUCUUUGUGCUCUUGCAUGCCUCAGUGGAAGCUAACCUCCUUUCAGCUCUGCACAAUUCAUUCAAACACUUCAGCUUAGUGUCAAACAACAAAAGGGGAAAAGCAGACAACUCAAAAGACAUUAGAUUGGAAGAUGAAUAACCCUCGCGGCCAAGAAGUGCACAUAAAUUGCUCAAAACAGACUGCGAUAGUUGCAAAAAGAUAUUAUGUAUGUCAUUUCUCCUUUUUCCACCUGAAGUUGACCCAGCAACAUCACUAUUUUCUUGCUUUGAUUCUCCUUCCGGCAAAGCAGGAUCCUUUGAAACCGCACCACCAGCUUCAUCAACAGGCAACAUAGGGGAAUUUCCUGUUCCCUGUUCAGAUCGGGACUGAUGCUCCAAUUUUGAUGAUGCAGUAUGAACAACUACUUGAAGGAGGCUCAUGACCUGCAGCAUAUGGAUUUUUAAUUAGAAAAUGGGGAAUGGGAAAACCAUAAAUAUUAAACCAUAAUAAUAUCCGAACCACCAGCUUCCGCUUGGUUCGUCCCCAAACCACAUCUUACUGGGACCAGUUUUAUGCUUCCGCUCAUGAUGUUUAAAUUUCUUUCAUGUUUUUCCACUUUCAGUCUUCAUGUUUGAAACUUAUUGAUUAGUAUUUGUUUCCAAACUUUUACAGUUUUCUAGACUCAUUAAAUUUCUAUGUAACGACCUGAAUUUAAGAGGGGUACAUGAAUGAACCAGUAUCACAUCCGAAUGAGAGGGAUCUUGAGGACAUGAAAGUAUGGUUAAGAAAGGCUUAAAGGAAUGAACCGGUGCACCUUUCUUUUCGGUGGCUCAAUCAUAGGAACUCCAAAUUUAAGCGUGCGUAGCUUGGAGCAAUCCUACGUUGGGUGAGACCUCCUGGAAAUUUUCUUAGGAAAUAUAGUUGCCUAUAUUUACAUUUUUUUUAAAAUGUUAUUGUACACUUAAUUAUUGACUUAGAGGCAACAACCCUAAAAGUUCUACCCAU